rnacentral:sRNA from 1 species
UUCCUACCAAGGUCACAUUGCUAAUUCAUCGGAAGAGACCAUAAGGUUUGCCUCAUAUGUGACAUUUGGUUCCUCUUGGUCUCUGGGCCUCAGUCUCCCCAUCUGUAAUUUGGGGAGUAUACCUAAGGCCCCUCCACCAGGCUCAGACCGGCUGGCUUCCCUGGGGCCACAGGGGUGGCUGCUGUCAUCUGCCUGGGGGACUGUGCUGGGCUGGGGAGGGGCAGGGGAGGGCCUGGUGGAGAAGGACAUCUUUGCUGACCCAGGCUCUUCCGGCAAGCCUGGACCACAGUGGCAGUGGGGCCCGCUCUGCCAGGGGUCCCGUUUCCUCCUCUCCCUGAGGGGGUGGGGCUGAGCUCUCAGAUGCUCCUCUGUCCCUGCACCCUCCCAGCUGAAGAAGAGAGCCCUGGACCAGCUGCGGCUGGUGAGGCCCAAGCCCGUGGGGGCGCCCGCAGGGGACUCCCCGGAGCAGCUGCUGCUGGAGCCCUGUGCAGAGCCGGAGCGGAGCCUCAGACCCUACAGUUUGGUGCGGCCGCUGCUGGUGUCUGCCCUGCGGCCGGUGGUGCUACUGCCUGAGUGCCUGGCGCCCCGGCUCAUCCGCAACCUACUAGACCUGCCCAGCUCCCGGCUGGACUUCCAAGUGUGCCCAGCGGAAAGCCUCUCCGGGGAGGAACUGUGCCCAUCCUCAGCGCCUGGAGCCCCCAAGGCUCAGCCUGCAACCCCUGGGCUAGGCAGCAGGAUCCGGGCCAUCCAGGAGUCUGUUGGGAAGAAGCACUGCCUGCUGGAGCUGGGUGCUCGGGGUGUGCGGGAGCUGGUGCAGAACGAGAUCUACCCAUCGUCAUCCACGUGGAGGUGACUGAGAAGAAUGUCCGGGAAGUCAGGGGUCUGCUGGGCCGGCCGGGCUGGCGGGACUCAGAGCUGCUGCGGCAGUGCCGUGGCUCAGAGCAGGUGCUCUGGGGGCUGCCCUGCUCCUGGGUGCAGGUGCCCGCCCUUGAGUGGGGACACGCAGAGGAGCUGGCCAAGGUGGUGCGCGGCCGCAUCCUGCAGGAGCAGGCCCGCCUCGUGUGGGUGGAGUGCGGCAGCAGCAGAGGCUGCCCCAGCAGCAGUGAGGCCUGAGGCUCAUCUGAUACCUGCAGCUUCUUCCCAAGCCAGCGUGGACCCUGGUGUCUGUGGUGAAGCUGGGCCCUCCCACCCUGAGCCUUCCUAGACCCUUGGACUCUCAGAUGCAGGGCUCUUGGCUCUGGCCUCUCACCCGCAAGGCUGUCUCUGGCCCUGCCGAGCCUGCAGGAGCCCCGGGACAGAGCGCCCACCCCUCUCUAUUUGCUGCUCUGGGCCUCCCCACCUGUCCUGGGGUCUCCACAUUCCCACUAGUGGGUCUCAUGUGUGUCUGUGUCUUCUCCUUAAACACUCGCCCUGGAGUCUGUUCUCACACUUGUGUGCAGGUUUGCACACUCAAGUUCUCACGGGCAGGCUCAGGUCUGUCCCGCUGCCCUGGGCACGAGGUCUCCUGAUGACCUGGGCCUGUUCUGCUCCCAGGAGCCCCGAGCCCGUUACCGCGUGACCCCCACCAUCCAGCUCACUCUCCUCGUGGAUUCAGCCAUGCAUGGACUGGGGGCUUCCCUGGCCCACGGUUACCUGUGCCCCUCAUGUCUCCUCACGUGGGUGUCUGUGGUUCUCUCCUGUGUAAAUGUCACGCCCCACCCCUGUUUCAUGUGGCCACUAACACGUGUGCGUUCCUGGUGGGCACACACAGUACCGUGCCUCACAGGGCCCAUUCCCUGCCUAUGCCUCCCUCUUAGGGGGCCGAGGAGGGCAGCUGCUCUGUCAUGAGAAUGUACGGCCCGUGGAUGAUUAACGGGCCUUUUUCACUUAGAAGCUGCACAUUAUGGAACAUUAAACACUUUUGUCAUAG